AGUAACACUAUACACACCAAACUUGGUGUACAUGUUGAAAAAACAUUGAGGAACUUAAAUUGUGAAUGGGUUUUGGAUAGCUUGGAUGGUUUUGUCGUGGUGAUUUUUUUAAAUGACAAUAAAGAUGGAACUAUUAAUUUUCCUGCAUUUUUAAAUUCCAAACACUUCAAAACCUUUUUUCAUACAGAAAAAAAGUUAUUCUGAGUAAAUAUGCAUAGUUUCAUGACUUUACAACACUGUAUGGAUAACAGAAAAUUAAAAAACUGUCAGACAUCUCAUCUCACUCUGUCCCUCUGUUUGAGUAUUAUGUGCUGAGACUUACAUUGUCUGAGAGAAAAUGCGCCCCUACAGGUUCAAUUCCUGAAAGGGAAAUUCGACUGAAAGGGAGGAGACUCUCUUUUAGUUUCAUUUUUAAAUCGGUUAAAAUACAAAUAAAUACUUAGAUUUAAUUCACACUGACAAGCUAAACCAACAUAUAUGAUUAUUACCGGUUCAGGGCUCAUGGAUAAAUUAUUUCUGGCCAGAGAUACGUGAGAAAUAGGAGAGAUGAAUCACCGCUGUGACCACGAGCGUCUGGAGUAAAGAGCUCAGAAAAAACUAAUUUAUUCCUGUUUUAAAGCUUUUAAAAAUAAAGUAUUGCAGCGAUAUCACACAAUUCACCAAUUAGAGCACACCAAGAGCUAAAUUAAGAUGUUUUUGAACUGUUUGUGUGAAAAUGAUAUAUUCGCGGCUGCCUAUAUCUGAAAUCACUGCCUCUGAUCAGCGCGUACAGUGUCACAAGUUCAAAACUAACGAAUUUAUUCUUGUUUAAGAGCUUUUUAAAAUAAAUUAUUGCCAUAAAUGCACACAAUACAUCCAUUAUAACACAACACGAGCUAAAUGCAGGUGUUUGUGACCCGUUUAAGUGUGCAAGACUAUUUGAAAGCGCGACUGGCAGAAUAACAUAUAUCUCUCGAGCUGCAGGAUUCUGCCUUUCGUCGUAAGAACGAACACAUCAAGGACAAGAUUAUUUCAAAAUACAUAAUAGCUUGGCGAAUAUAAACGAAAACAGCCACGUGAACAUAAACUGUUGAGAAAUAAAUCUGAAGUGGAUCUACUGGAUUUUAAUAUUAAGUGACCGCAUAUACCAGCUGCUUCUGUCUUCACUUUUAAUCUAUAUAAAAAAUUAAACUCAUUCAUCUUGGCUGCUUUUUUAAUGUGUGUACGUAUUUAUUUAUUAUUUUGCUCUAACAAGACUUAAUCUAUAUUUAAUUAAAUCAAUUACAUUUGAUUUUACAUUUGAUUUUUCCAUUUCUGCAUCUAAACGCCUAAAAACCUAAAACAUGCUCUAUUAUACUAUUGUUAGCAAUUUCUUUAUCGUCCAAUUUAUCUGGUGUACACGCUUUUAUUUUCAUAAUAAACUCGUUUGUUAGAUUAUACACAGUUAUAGUGGUCUAUAAUAAAUAUUGACAGGUUUUAUUCAAGCUGUUUAGAAUGAUUGCCGUAGGCAAAUUUUUAAAAAUGUAAAUCCCAAAAAAAAAAAAAAAUUGUAAAUAAAUAAAAAACAUUGGAAAAGAAUAACUUGUACUUUUUUAUACAUUUUGUAUAGUUUCAUAGUUUAUGCAUUAUAGUUAUGAAAACAAACAAAUUUAGCCACUCACAUAGAAAUCUUAGGCCUUAUCCUUUUCUGACAGUUUUAGGGAUUUUUAAAAAUCCUAAAAAACCUUAUUGGUGCUGCAAAUAAUAAUUUCAAACUAAUUUGAUACUGACCUCUGACAUCCUGUGACAUGAUAUUUAUUUGAAUUUACAUAAUCUCAUGGAUGUAACAGUAAAUCUGUUCAGCUCACAGAUCAAGACUAAGCUGUAAUGCAAGCAGAACUUUCACAAAUGCUUGUAGGUCAAUAAAAUCAUUACAAAACACUUACAAAUCAUUUAAGGGAUUUGAUAACACUGUAAAAUAAUGUCUAAUUUGUUAACAUUAGCAAAUGCAUUGAUAACACUUUAUAAUAACUGCACUCAUUAGUAAAUAGUCAGUUCAUGCUUCAUAAAGCCUUGUCCCAAUAUUAAUAGUCAGUAGUAAGCAGUUUAUAAAUACAGCUAUAAAUAGCUCAUUUAUUAAAAAGGAGAGUAAAGGGUCAGUUAUCUUCCUAUGAAAAAUAAAAAAAAUAAAAAUAAACAAACAACAACACUGAUUGAUACAGAACUCAGAAAUGUUAUUGUGGAUUUAUGAUAAACUCAGCCUGUAAAUGAAUUCAUUCUCCUCCAAGAAGACACAAGUAGUUCACACCAAACUUUUUUAACAUGAAGCCAUAUACUGAAGAUGUUAAAUUGCGAAUGGGUUUAGGAUACCUUAAAUGGUGUGGCCAUAGAGAUUUAUUAAAGUAACAUAAAAAAAUACCAUAGUUAUUUUACUAUAUCUUUAAAAUUUUUAAUUCCAACUCUUCAUAAUUUUUUAUAUACGUAGAAGUCAUCAUUUGAAGGAAGCACAGUAAGUUUCAUAGCUUUAUCAUUUUCAAGAGCCAGCAUAAAAUUAAAACUAUCAUAACAUAUAAAUCAAGCUUGCAAUUCUUAGUACCAAUAAUGGCCACCAGAUGGAGCUAUAGGAUCACUUUUAAAUAAUUAUUGUAGAAACAAGUAUGAUUUAAAUCAUUUAUAGAAAUCUUUCAAAGAAAAAUAAUAUGAAUUUUAUGUAUUUUACUGAUAAAAUGACCCUCACUUUAUUAGAAUAACAAGCUGAAAUAUUGUGAACUGUAUUUUAAGAAUAAUUCUUUAUAGGCUUUAUGGACAGAUAAGUUUUGAGUGACUCUUGAAGGAUCAGCACCACAUCCUCUUUUACCACUGUUUAAAGAAUGUAUCUUACAGAACAGGUGCGAAUUAAUUUUGGAUAGCUUGAAUGGUUUUGUCAUGGUGAUUUUUUGAAAUAACAGUAAAAAAGGAACCAGUAAAUGUCUUUUAUUUUUUUAAGUGCAGCUUCUAAACACUUCAACAAAAUGUACACAUAGAAGACAAGUCAUGCUGAGGAAAUAUGCAUAGUUUCAUGACUAUACAACACUAUAUGGAUGAUAGAAAAUUAAAAAACUACCAUACAUCUGAUGUCACUCUGUCCCUCUGGGUAAUGUGUGUGUGUGUGUGUGUGUGUGUGUGUUUGUGUGUUAAGUGUGUGUGUGUUAAGUGUGUGUGCUGAGUUUGUGUGAAUGUGUGGGAGAGGGGAUGGGCUUGGUGUCAGAGAGAGAGAGAGAGAGAGAGAGAGGGAGGGAGACUUAAUCAUCUCUUUAAUCACCAGCAGAAAAAAAAGCAAUUUUGUGUUGUUGUUGUUUUUUCAUCAUUACAGCUU